rnacentral:rRNA from 1 species
UAAGGAAUAUUGGACAAUGGGCGAAAGCCUGAUCCAGCCAUGCCGCGUGAAUGAAGAAGGCCUUAGGGUUGUAAAGUUCUUUUAGGGGUGAAGAUAAUGACGGUAGCCCCAGAAAAAGCUCCGGCUAACUCCGUGCCAGCAGCCGCGGUAAUACGGAGGGAGCGAGCGUUGUUCGGAAUUACUGGGCGUAAAGCGUGCGCAGGCGGCCAUGCAAGUCAGAAGUGAAAUCCCGGGGCUUAACCUCGGAAUUGCUUUUGAAACUGCAAGGCUAGAGUAUCGGAGAGGUUGACGGAAUUCCCAGUGUAGAGGUGAAAUUCGUAGAUAUUGGGAGGAACACCAGUGGCGUAAGCGGUCAACUGGACGAUAACUGACGCUCAGGCACGAAAGCGUGGGGAUCAAA